rnacentral:rRNA from 1 species
AACGAACGCUGGCGGCAUGCCUAACACAUGCAAGUCGAACGAGACCUUCGGGUCUGGUGGCGCACGGGGGCGUAACGCGGGGGAACCUGCACUUAGGUUCGGAAUAACUCCCCGAAAGGGGUGCUAAUACCGGAUAAUGUCGUCGGACCAAAGAUUUAUCGCCUUUGGCUGGGCCCGCGUUGGAUUAGCUAGUUGGUAGGGUAAAAGCCUACCAAGGCGACGAUCCAUAGCUGGUCUGAGAGGAUGAUCAGCCACACUGGGACUGAGACACGGCCCAGACUCCUACGGGAGGCAGCAGUGGGGAAUAUUGGACAAUGGGCUAAAGCCUGAUCCAGCAAUGCCGCGUGAGUGAUGAAGGCCUUAGGGUUGUAAAGCUCUUUUACCCGGGAUGAUAAUGACAGUACCGGGAGAAUAAGCGCCGGCUAACUCCGUG